rnacentral:rRNA from 1 species
ACGGGGGCCCGCACAAGCGGUGGAGCAUGUGGUUUAAUUCGAUGCAACGCGAAGAACCUUACCUGGUCUUGACAUCCUGGGGAUUUUGCGGAAACGCGGAAGUGCCUUCGGGAACCCAGAGACAGGUGCUGCAUGGCUGUCGUCAGCUCGUGUCGUGAGAUGUUGGGUUAAGUCCCGCAACGAGCGCAACCCUUAUCCUUAGUUGCCAGCGAUUCGGUCGGGAACUCUAGGGAGACUGCCGGUGAUAAACCGGAGGAAGGUGGGGAUGACGUCAAGUCCUCAUGGCCCUUAUGGCCAGGGCUACACACGUGCUACAAUGGUUGGUACAGAGAGUUGCGAAACUGCGAAGUGAAGCCAAUCUCCAAAGCCAAUCGUAGUCCGGAUCGGAGUCUGCAACUCGACUCCGUGAAGUCGGAAUCGCUAGUAAUCGUGGAUCAGCAUUGCCACGGUGAAUACGUUCCCGGGCAUUGUACACACCGCCCGUCACACCAUGGGAGUUGGCGGCACCAGAAGUGGGUAGUCUAACCUUCGGGAGA